UCGAACGCCCCGCAAGGGGAGUGGCAGACGGGUGAGUAACGCGUGGGAACAUACCCUUUUCUACGGAAUAGCUCUGGGAAACUGGAAUUAAUACCGUAUACGCCCUACGGGGGAAAGAUUUAUCGGGGAAGGAUUGGUCCGCGUUGGAUUAGCUAGUUGGUGGGGUAAAGGCCUACCAAGGCGACGAUCCAUAGCUGGUCUGAGAGGAUGAUCAGCCACAUUGGGACUGAGACACGGCCCAAACUCCUACGGGAGGCAGCAGUGGGGAAUAUUGGACAAUGGGCGCAAGCCUGAUCCAGCCAUGCCGCGUGAGUGAUGAAGGCCUUAGGGUUGUAAAGCUCUUUCACCGAUGAAGAUAAUGACGGUAGUCGGAGAAGAAGCCCCGGCUAACUUCGUGCCAGCAGCCGCGGUAAUACGAAGGGGGCUAGCGUUGUUCGGAAUUACUGGGCGUAAAGCGCACGUAGGCGGAUAUUUAAGUCAGGGGUGAAAUC
rnacentral:rRNA from 1 species